rnacentral:rRNA from 1 species
AGAGCGAACGCUGGCGGCAGGCUUAACACAUGCAAGUCGAGCGGGCGUAGCAAUACGUCAGCGGCAGACGGGUGAGUAACGCGUGGGAACGUACCUUUUGGUUCGGAACAACCCAGGGAAACUUGGGCUAAUACCGGAUAAGCCCUUACGGGGAAAGAUUUAUCGCCGAAAGAUCGGCCCGCGUCUGAUUAGCUAGUUGGUGAGGUAAUGGCUCACCAAGGCGACGAUCAGUAGCUGGUCUGAGAGGAUGAUCAGCCACAUUGGGACUGAGACACGGCCCAAACUCCUACGGGAGGCAGCAGUGGGGAAUAUUGGACAAUGGGCGCAAGCCUGAUCCAGCCAUGCCGCGUGAGUGAUGAAGGCCCUAGGGUUGUAAAAGCUCUUUUGUGCGGGAAGAUAAUGACGGUACCGCAAGAAUAAGCCCCGGCUAACUUCGCGCCAAGCAGCCGC